rnacentral:rRNA from 1 species
GAACGAACGCUGGCGGCGCGCCUAAUACAUGCAAGUCGAGCGAGAAGACGUAGCAAUACGUUUGUAAAGCGGCGAACGGGUGAGGAAUACAUGGGUAACCUACCCUCGAGUGGGGAAUAACUAGCCGAAAGGUUAGCUAAUACCGCGUACGCUCCUUGGACUUCGGUUCAGGGAGGAAAGCGAUACCGUGGGUAUCGCGCUCUUGGAUGGGCUCAUGUCCUAUCAGCUUGUUGGUGAGGAACGGCUCACCAAGGCUUCGACGGGUAGCUGGUCUGAGAGGACGAUCAGCCACACUGGCACUGCGACACGGGCCAGACUCCUACGGGAGGCAGCAGUAAGGAAUAUUGCGCAAUGGGCGAAAGCCUGACGCAGCGACGCCGCGUGGGGGAUGAAGGUCUUCGGAUUGUAAACCCCUUUCGGG